GCGCGCGUAGGCGGUUUUUUAAGUCUGAUGUGAAAGCCCACGGCUCAACCGUGGAGGGUCAUUGGAAACUGGAAAACUUGAGUGCAGAAGAGGAAAGUGGAAUUCCAUGUGUAGCGGUGAAAUGCGCAGAGAUAUGGAGGAACACCAGUGGCGAAGGCGACUUUCUGGUCUGUAACUGACGCUGAUGUGCGAAAGCGUGGGGAUCAAACAGGAUUAGAUACCCUGGUAGUCCACGCCGUAAACGAUGAGUGCUAAGUGUUAGGGGGUUUCCGCCCCUUAGUGCUGCAGCUAACGCAUUAAGCACUCCGCCUGGGGAGUACGACCGCAAGGUUGAAACUCAAAGGAAUUGACGGGGACCCGCACAAGCGGUGGAGCAUGUGGUUUAAUUCGAAGCAACGCGAAGAACCUUACCAAAUCUUGACAUCCUUUGACAACUCUAGAGAUAGAGCCUUCCCCUUCGGGGGACAAAGUGACAGGUGGUGCAUGGUUGUCGUCAGCUCGUGUCGUGAGAUGUUGGGUUAAGUCCCGCAACGAGCGCAACCCUUAAGCUUAGUUGCCAUCAUUAAGUUGGGCACUCUAAGUUGAGUGCCGGUGACAAACCGGAGGAAGGUGGGGAUGAUGUCAAAUCAUCCUGCCCCUUAUGAGUGGGGAUACACACGUGCUACAAUGGAGAAUACUCAGGGCAGUGACACCGCGAGGUCUCGCAUAUCCCAUAAAGUUGCUCUCUCUUCAGAGUGGAGUCUGCAUCUCUACGACCUGAACCUCGAUUCGCAUGUAAUCGCACAUCACUAUGCUGCGGUGAAUACGUUCCCUGGUCUUGACACACCGCCCGUGACACCAGGAGAGUUUGUCACACCGAAACAGAGGAGCACGUUUAUGAGCUAACAUCUAAGGUGAGACAUGCAUCGGCUUAUUCUACCCG
rnacentral:rRNA from 1 species